GGCUAGGCAAGCAUGGCGUUGGUUGUCCAUGUGAAAGUAAGUAGGUUGAGAACUUAGGCAAAUCCGGGUUCUUAAGACUGAGAUACGAGACGAGUCACUACGGUGAUGAAGUUGUUGAUGCCAUACUUCCAGGAAAAUCCUCUAAGCUUCAGUUCAUGCUGAAUCGUACCCCAAACCGACACAGGUGGUCAGGUAGAGAAUACUAAGGCGCUUGAGAGAACUCGGGUGAAGGAACUAGGCAAAAUAGUACCGUAACUUCGGGAGAAGGUACGCUGCUGACGGUGAUAGGACUUGCUCCUUAAGCUGUUGGCAGUCACAGUAACCAGGUGGCUGGGACUGUUUAUUAAAAACACAGCACUGUGCAAAAUCGAAAGAUGACGUAUACGGUGUGACACCUGCCCGGUGCCGGAAGGUUAAUUGAUGGGGUUAUCUUCGGAGAAGCUCUUGAUCGAAGCCCCGGUAAACGGCGGCCGUAACUAUAACGGUCCUAAGGUAGCGAAAUUCCUUGUCGGGUAAGUUCCGACCUGCACGAAUGGUGUAACCAUGGCCACGCUGUCUCCACCCGAGACUCAGUGAAAUUGAAAUCGCAGUGAAGAUGCUGUGUACCCGCGGCUAGACGGAAAGACCCCGUGAACCUUUACUACAGCUUGGCACUGAACAUUGAACCUACAUGUGUAGGAUAGGUGGGAGACUUUGAAGCAGCGACGCUAGUUGUUGUGGAGUCGUCCUUGAAAUACCACCCUUGUAGUUUUGAUGUUCUAACGUAGGCCCCUAAUCGGGGUUGCGGACAGUGCCUGGUGGGUAGUUUGACUGGGGCGGUCUCCUCCCAAAGAGUAACGGAGGAGCACGAAGGUUUGCUAAGUACGGUCGGACAUCGUACGGUUAGUGUAAUGGUAGAAGCAAGCUUAACUGCGAGACGGACAAGUCGAGCAGGUACGAAAGUAGGUCAUAGUGAUCCGGUGGUUCUGAAUGGAAGGGCCAUCGCUCAACGGAUAAAAGGUACUCCGGGGAUAACAGGCUGAUACCGCCCAAGAGUUCAUAUCGACGGCGGUGUUUGGCACCUCGAUGUCGGCUCAUCACAUCCUGGGGCUGAAGUCGGUCCCAAGGGUAUGGCUGUUCGCCAUUUAAAGUGGUACGCGAGCUGGGUUUAGAACGUCGUGAGACAGUUCGGUCCCUAUCUGCCGUGGGCGUUUGAGAAUUGAGAGGGGCUGCUCCUAGUACGAGAGGACCGGAGUGGACGAACCGCUGGUGUUCGGGUUGUGAUGCCAAUCGCAUUGCCCGGUAGCUACGUUCGGAAUCGAUAAGCGCUGAAAGCAUCUAAGCGCGAAGCGAGCCUCGAGAUGAGUUCUCACUUGGAGUUUAACUCCACURAAGGGCCGUUGGAGACUACAACGUUGAUAGGUAGGGUGUGGAAGCGCUGUGAGGCGUUAAGCUAACCUAUACUAAUUACCCGUGAGGCUUAACCAUACAACGCCAAAGUGGUUU
rnacentral:rRNA from 1 species